AACGAACGCUGGCGGCAUGCCUAGCACAUGCAAGUCGAACGAGCCCUUCGGGUCUAGUGGCGCACGGGUGCGUAACGCGUGGGAACCUGCACUUAGGUUCGGCAUAACUCCCCGAAAGGGGUGCUAAUACCGGAUAAUGUCUUCGGACCAAAGAUUUAUCGCCUUUGGAUGGGCCCGCGUUGGAUUAGCUAGUUGGUAAGGUAAAAGCCUACCCAAGCGACGAUCCAUAGCUGGUCUGAGAGGAAGGUUAGCCACACUGGGACUGGGGACAGGCCCAGAAUCCUACGGGAGGGGAGAAGGGGGGAUAGUGGAACAAGGGGCAAAGGCUGAACCCAGCAGGACCGGAGAAGUAUGGAGGUCGGGAGGGUGGAAAGCUUAUUUACCCGGGAUGAUAAUGACAGUACCGGGAGAAUAAGCGCCGGCUAACUCCGUG
rnacentral:rRNA from 1 species